rnacentral:rRNA from 1 species
UACGUAGGGGGCUAGCGUUGUCCGGAAUCAUUGGGCGUAAAGAGCGUGUAGGCGGCCCGGUAAGUCCGCUGUGAAAGUCGGGGGCUCAACCCUCGAAUGCCGGUGGAUACUGUCGGGCUAGAGUGCGGAAGAGGCGAGUGGAAUUCCCGGUGUAGCGGUGAAAUGCGCAGAUAUCGGGAGGAACACCAGUAGCGAAGGCGGCUCGCUGGGCCGUUCCUGACGCUGAGACGCGAAAGCUAGGGGAGCGAACAGG